AUUGAACGCUGGCGGCAUGCCUUACACAUGCAAGUCGAACGGCAGCACGGGAGCAAUCCUGGUGGCGAGUGGCGAACGGGUGAGUAAAGUAUCGGAACGUGCCCAGUCGUGGGGGAUAACGUAGCGAAAGUUACGCUAAUACCGCAUACGAUCUAUGGAUGAAAGCGGGGGAUCGCAAGACCUCGCGCGAUUGGAGCGGCCGAUAUCAGAUUAGGUAGUUGGUGGGGUAAAGGCUCACCAAGCCGACGAUCUGUAGCUGGUCUGAGAGGACGACCAGGCACACUGGGACUGAGACACGGCCCAGACUCCUACGGGAGGCAGCAGUGGGGAAUUUUGGACAAUGGGCGAAAGCCUGAUCCAGCCAUGCCGCGUGCAGGAUGAAGGCCUUCGGGUUGUAAACUGCUCUUGUACGGAACGAAAAGGUUUGGGCUAAUAAGCUGAGCUCAUGACGGUACCGUAAGAAUAAGCACCGGCUAACUACGUGCCAGCAGCCGCCGUAA
rnacentral:rRNA from 1 species